rnacentral:rRNA from 1 species
UGGGGAAUCUUCCGCAAUGGACGAAAGUCUGACGGAGCAACGCCGCGUGAGUGAAGAAGGUUUUCGGAUCGUAAAACUCUGUCUUCAGGGACGAAUGUUACUUUUGUGAAUAAUGAGAGUAAAUGACGGUACCUGAGGAGGAAGCCACGGCUAACUACGUGCCAGCAGCCGCGGUAAUACGUAGGUGGCAAGCGUUGUCCGGAAUUAUUGGGCGUAAAGAGCGCGUAGGCGGGAUAGUAAGUCUGCUGUAAAAGAGCGGGGCUCAACCCCGUAUUGCAGUGGAAACUAGUAUUCUUGAGUGCAGGAGAGGAAAGUGGAAUUCCCAGUGUAGCGGUGAAAUGCGUAGAUAUUGGGAGGAACACCAGUGGCGAAGGCGACUUUCUGGACUGUGUCUGACGCUGAGGCGCGAAAGCCAGGGGAGUGAACGGGA